UACGUAGGGUGCGAGCGUUGUCCGGAAUUAUUGGGCGUAAAGAGCUCGUAGGCGGUGUGUCACGUCGGCCGUGAAAACCUGCAGCUUAACUGUGGGCGUGCGGUCGAUACGGGCAUCACUGGAGUUCGGCAGGGGAGACUGGAAUUCCUGGUGUAGCGGUGGAAUGCGCAGAUAUCAGGAGGAACACCUGUGGUGUAGACGGCUUUCUGGACCAUAACUGACGCUGAGACACGAAAGCGUGGGUAGCAAACAGG
rnacentral:rRNA from 1 species